rnacentral:rRNA from 1 species
UAUUGGCCAAUGGGCGCGAGCCUGAACCAGCCAAGUAGCGUGAAGGAUGACGGCCCUAUGGGUUGUAAACUUCUUUUAUAUGGGAAUAAAGUUUGGUAUGUAUACUGCUUUGCAUGUACCUUAUGAAUAAGGUUCGGCUAACUCCGUGCCAGCAGUCGCGGUAAUACGGAGGAUCCGAGCGUUAUCCGGAUUUAUUGGGUUUAAAGGGAGCGUAGGCGGGUUGUUAAGUCAGUUGUGAAAGUUUGCGGCUCAACCGUAAAAUUGCAGUUGAUACUGGCAUCCUUGAGUACAGUAGAGGUAGGGGGAAUUCGUGGUGUAGCGGUGAAAUGCUUAGAUAUCACGAAGAACUCCGAUUGCGAAGGCAGCCUGCUGGACUGUUGACUGACACUGAGGCUCGAAAGUGUGGGUAUCAA